GAACGAUGAUCCGGUUUCGGCCGGGGAUGAGUGGCGAACGGGUGAGUAACACGUGGGCAAUCUGCCCUGCACUCUGGGACAAGCCCUGGAAACGGGGUCUAAUACCGGUAUAACACUCUCGCAGGCAUCUGUGAGAGUUAAAAGCUCCGGCGGUGCAGGAUGAGCCCGCGGCCUAUCAGCUUGUUGGUGAGGUAACGGCUCACCAAGGCGACGACGGGUAGCCGGCCUGAGAGGGCGACCGGCCACACUGGGACUGAGACACGGCCCAUACUCCUACGGGAGGCAGCAGUGGGGAAUAUUGCACAAUGGGCGAAAGCCUGAUGCAGCGACGCCGCGUGAGGGAUGACGGCCUUCGGGUUGUAAACCUCUUUCAGCAGGGAAGAAGCGAAAGUGACGGUACCUGCAGAAGAAGCGCCGGCUAACUACGUGCCAGCAGCCGCGGUAAU
rnacentral:rRNA from 1 species